GACCGGAGUGGACGCAUCACUGGUGUUCGGGUUGUCAUGCCAAUGGCACUGCCCGGUAGCUAAAUGCGGAAGAGAUAAGUGCUGAAAGCAUCUAAGCACGAAACUUGCCCCGAGAUGAGUUCUCCCUGACUCCUUGAGAGUCCUGAAGGAACGUUGAAGACGACGACGUUGAUAGGCCGGGUGUGUAAGCGCAGCGAUGCGUUGAGCUAACCGGUACUAAUGAACCGUGAGGCUUAACCUUACAACGCCGAAG
rnacentral:rRNA from 1 species